AUUGAACGCUGGCGGCAUGCCUUACACAUGCAAGUCGAACGGCAGCACGGGUGCUUGCACCUGGUGGCGAGUGGCGAACGGGUGAGUAAUACAUCGGAACAUGUCCUGUAGUGGGGGAUAGCCCGGCGAAAGCCGGAUUAAUACCGCAUACGAUCUACGGAUGAAAGCGGGGGCCCUUCGGGCCUCGCGCUAUAGGGUUGGCCGAUGGCUGAUUAGCUAGUUGGUGGGGUAAAGGCCUACCAAGGCGACGAUCAGUAGCUGGUCUGAGAGGACGACCAGCCACACUGGGACUGAGACACGGCCCAGACUCCUACGGGAGGCAGCAGUGGGGAAUUUUGGACAAUGGGCGAAAGCCUGAUCCAGCAAGGCCGCGUGUGUGAAGAAGGCCUUCGGGUUGUAAAGCACUUUUGUCCGGAAAGAAAUCCUUGGCCCUAAUACGGUCGGGGGAUGACGGUACCGGAAGAAUAAGCACCGGCUAACUACGUG
rnacentral:rRNA from 1 species